rnacentral:rRNA from 1 species
UUGAACGCUGGCGGCAUGCUUUACACAUGCAAGUCGAACGGCAGCGCGGGCUUCGGCCUGGCGGCGAGAGGCGAACGGGUGAGUAAUGCAUCGGAACGUGCCCAGUAGUGGGGGAUAGCCCGGCGAAAGCCGGAUUAAUACCGCAUACGACCUGAGGGUGAAAGCGGGGGACCGAAAGGCCUCGCGCUAUUGGAGCGGCCGAUGUCGGAUUAGCUAGUUGGUGGGGUAAAGGCUUACCAAGGCGACGAUCCGUAGCUGGUCUGAGAGGACGACCAGCCACACUGGGACUGAGACACGGCCCAGACUCCUACGGGAGGCAGCAGUGGGGAAUUUUGGACAAUGGGGGCAACCCUGAUCCAGCCAUGCCGCGUGCGGGAAGAAGGCCUUCGGGUUGUAAACCGCUUUUGUUCGGGAAGAAAUCCUCUGGGCUAAUACCCCGGGGGGAUGACGGUACCGGAAGAAUAAGCACCGGCUAACUACGUG